AGCGGGGGUGUAUUAGGUUUAACCUCAAUGACAACUAAUUAAUAACCAACUAAAUAAAAUUUUUCAAGUUAGAGAGAGACUAUGUUUUCUCAUUUCAGAAUAUUUUCAAAGGAAAAACUAUAGUAAUAAAUGUCCGUGAAAACAAUAUCAAAUGCAUAUCAGGAAUGUAAAUGAUCCAAAUUUCCAACGACAGCCUGGAGAUUUGAACUCCAAAAUGUCCGAAUAAAGUUGAUUAAAAGACAGUCGCACAAUAUGGCACCCACCUUGUGAAGUACGACAUUUCCAACCACUGUCAGAAACGUGGAAGUUUAAAGGAAAGCUCUAUCAAGUCACGAGAUAAGCCCCAAGCACCCAAAAGGCUACAAAACUCAGCCGUCUCCAUGCCCUGGACCUGGCUCAGUUCUCGGGAUCUGGUUUCAAGAUUCAUCUACCAUCUUCCCAAGUAUUGAUCAAGGACAGCGUUCUUCUACCACAGUUGGGCUCCGUAUUGAUUGUCGGGGGAUCUGCUCUAUUCGACCUCUGCAGGUGAAGCCUUGAAGUGAAAGAGGAGAGAGAAAAGGCUGGCUUAAAACUAAUCAUUCAAAAAACGAAGAUCAUGGCAUCUGGUCCCAUCACUUCAUGGUAAAUAGAUGCGGGAAACAAUGGAAACAGUGACAGACUUUAUUUUCUUGGGCUCCAAAAAUCACUGCAGAUGGAGACUGCAGCCAUGAC
ensembl:lncRNA